rnacentral:miRNA from 1 species
CACAUGGGCAACGAAUAAUUUU